rnacentral:rRNA from 1 species
GAUGAACGCUGGCGGCGUGCCUAAUACAUGCAAGUCGAGCGAACAGACGAGGAGCUUGCUCCUCUGACGUUAGCGGCGGACGGGUGAGUAACACGUGUAUAACCUACCUAUAAGACUGGGAUAACUUCGGGAAACCGGAGCUAAUACCGGAUAAUAUAUUGAACCGCAUGGUUCAAUAGUGAAAUACGGUUUUGCUGUCACUUAUAGAUGGAUCCGCGCCGCAUUAGCUAGUUGGUAAGGUAACGGCUUACCAAGGCAACGAUGCGUAGCCGAACUGAGAGGGUGAUAGGCCACACUGGAACUGAGACACGGUACAGAGUACUAAGGGAGGCAGCAGUAGGGAAUCGUCCGCAAUGGGCGAAAGCAUGACGGAGCAACGCCGAGUGAGUGAUGACGGUCUCCGGAUCGUAAAAAUCUGUUAUUAGGGAAGAACAAAUGUGUAAGUAACUAUGCACGUCUUGACGGUAACUAAUAAGAAAGCCACGGCUAACUACGUG